rnacentral:rRNA from 1 species
AAUGAACGCUGGCGGCAGGCCUAACAUAUGCAAGUCGAACGGAUCCUUCGGGAUUAGUGGCGGACGGGUGAGUAACGCGUGGGAACAUACCCUUUGGUACGGAAUAGCCUCGGGAAACUGGGAGUAAUACCGUAUGUGGUCGAGAGACGAAAGAUUUAUCGCCAAAGGAUUGGCCCGCGCUGGAUUAGGUAGUUGGUGGGGUAAUGGCCUACCAAGCCGACGAUCCAUAGCUGGUUUGAGAGGAUGAUCAGCCACACUGGGACUGAGACACGGCCCAGACUCCUACGGGAGGCAGCAGUGGGGAAUCUUAGACAAUGGGGGAAACCCUGAUCUAGCCAUGCCGCGUGAUCGAUGAAGGCCUUAGGGUUGUAAAGAACUUUCAGGUGGGAAGAUAAUGACUGUACCACCAGGAGAAGCCCCGGCUAACUCCGUGCCAGCCGCCGCAGUAACAC